UACGGGGGGAGCAAGCGUUGUUCGGAUUUACUGGGCGUAAAGGGUGCGUAGGCGGCGCGGUAAGUCGGGUGUGAAAUCUCGGAGCUUAACUCCGAAACUGCAUUCGAUACUGCCGUGCUUGAGGACUGGAGAGGAGACUGGAAUUUACGGUGUAGCGGUGAAAUGCGUAGAUAUCGUAAGGAAGACCAGUGGCGAAGGCGGGUCUCUGGACAGUUCCUGACGCUGAGGCACGAAGGCCAGGGGAGCAAACGGG
rnacentral:rRNA from 1 species